UACGGAGGGUGCAAGCGUUGUCCGGAUUUAUUGGGUUUAAAGGGUGCGUAGGCGGCUUUUUAAGUCAGUGGUGAAAUCCAUCAGCUCAACUGAUGAACUGCCAUUGAUACUGGAAGGCUUGAGUACAGACGAGGUAGGCGGAAUUGACAGUGUAGCGGUGAAAUGCAUAGAUAUUGUCAAGAACACCGAUUGCGAAGGCAGCUUACUAGGCUGUAACUGACGCUGAGGCACGAAAGUGCGGGGAUCAAACAGG
rnacentral:rRNA from 1 species